rnacentral:rRNA from 1 species
UCCUUAGAUGUUCUGGGCCGCACGCGUGCUGCACUGAGUGGAUCAGCGGGUCAGGUUGCGCGAAAGCGUUUCCUAAUCUUUAAAUCCGCUCGUGAUGGGGAUUGACGGUUGCAAUUUUCUGUCAUGAACGAGGAAUACCUUGUAAGCGCGGGUCAUCAUCCCGCGCUGAAUACGUCCCUGCCCUUUGUACACACCGCCCGUCGCUCCUACCGAUUGAGUGGUCCGGUGAGGCUUUGGGAUCUGAGCGGAAAGAGCGUUUCGCUGUUUCUGCUCGGAAAACUCAGUCGAACCUUAUCAUUUAGAGGAAGGAGAAGUCGUAACA